rnacentral:rRNA from 1 species
UACGGAGGGUGCAAGCGUUGUCCGGAAUCACUGGGCGUAAAGGGCGCGUAGGCGGCCUGGUAAGUAGGGGGUGAAAUCCUGCGGCUUAACCGCAGGGCUGCCUUCUAAACUGUCAGGCUUGAGCACGGUAGAGGCAGAUGGAAUUCCCGGUGUAGCGGUGGAAUGCGUAGAGAUCGGGAAGAACAUCAGUGGCGAAGGCGGUCUGCUGGGCCGAUACUGACGCUGAGGAGCGAAAGCGUGGGGAGCGAACAGG